rnacentral:lncRNA from 1 species
GCUUAGUUUGCUACCAAAGUAAGCAAUUAGUUGAGCAGUGUCAAUUUUCUUUGGCUACAAACCAAAUAAAUGACUAAUAUUUUUGCACUGUCAAAUUUACUUUAGCUAGAUUGAAUUUGGCUACAAACUUAAACAGACCCGAGAACUCAAACUUUCAAGGAAUUUUUGCACUGCAUGAUGUAUCAAUUUUCCCGUCAUUCGAUUUUUAUAUACAACCUAAUUCUAAAGCACAAUAUAAAAUCUACAGCUGUACAAUCGCUGAUACCAUGCAAACCGUGUCACAUCAGCAUUUCGUCAACCAGGCAGCAACAGCAAAGCGCCAUGAAGCUGCAUGAUCACGUAAGAAAAAUGUCAUGAGGAUAAAAAUUCUACACGAAAUUCAUAGCCCCAAGAAAACGAAUUUCUAGCAUCUUACAAUCCUGCGAUGAAUCCACAUUUGGGCUGAGGAUGCUCCGGCGGCGCGGGCUCGUCGUACGCCGCCGACGGCGGCGCCAUUGGCCCUAAAAAAUUGCAAACCACAAAAUUAAGGCGAUCGAUUGAACGAAAUUUUGCCAAAGCACACGCUAAUUAAUCAGCCAAAUGGCAUUCAAAAAAAAGAAGGCAUUCAAAAAAAAAUUAAUCAGCCAAAUCCUCUUUUUGCCAAAGGCGGAAUGCAAUUUAAUAGACGUUUGCCGAAACAGCAUAUAUCUGAGAUUUGUAGAAUUACUAAUUAAUUACCUGGUGCUCCAUCGUGAUGCAAGCUGCUCGCCCGGUGCUGCAUAUCGCCGUUUGCUUUGCGACGAAGCGACGGAUCAAACGAAACGAGAGAGAGAGAGAGAGAACACAAACACAACACAACAGAGAUGCUUUCUUUCUGAACGAAGAGAGAAUCUAUUUGUUCAGAGCAAGGAGGCCCAAGAAAAGGUUAAUCAUGCUGUGUGCUGUUGCGAUGAACAGGCCACGCAGGAGAGAACACAGCUGGUUUAAGGUUAGGAAGCCUGCACAACGACAACGUAGAGGCAGGCAGGCAGGGUAUCCAUCUCUUUUCCCCCCCGGCCGU